CCCUUCGGGGUACACGAGUGGCGAACGGGUGAGUAACACGUGGGUGAUCUGCCCUGCACUUCGGGAUAAGCCUGGGAAACUGGGUCUAAUACCGGAUAUGACCAUGCGCUUCACGGUGUGUGGUGGAAAGCUUUUGCGGUGUGGGAUGGGCCCGCGGCCUAUCAGCUUGUUGGUGGGGUAAUGGCCUACCAAGGCGACGACGGGUAGCCGGCCUGAGAGGGUGUCCGGCCACACUGGGACUGAGAUACGGCCCAGACUCCUACGGGAGGCAGCAGUGGGGAAUAUUGCACAAUGGGCGCAAGCCUGAUGCAGCGACGCCGCGUGGGGGAUGACGGCCUUCGGGUUGUAAACCUCUUUCAAUAGGGACGAAGCGCAAGUGACGGUACCUAUAGAAGAAGCACCGGCCAACUACGUGCCAGCAGCCGCGGUAAUACGUAGGGUGCGAGCGUUGUCCGGAAUUACUGGGCGUAAAGAGCUCGUAGGUGGUUUGUCGCGUUGUCCGUGAAAUUUCACAACUCAAUUGUGAGCGUGCGGGCGAUACGGGCAGACUGGAGUACUGCAGGGGAGACUGGAAUUCCCGGUGUAGCGGUGGAAUGCGCAGAUAUCAGGAGGAACACCGGUGGCGAAGGCGGGUCUCUGGGCAGUAACUGACGCUGAGGAGCGAAAGCGUGGGGAGCGAACAGGAUUAGAUACCCUGGUAGUCCACGCCGUAAACGGUGGGUACUAGGUGUGGGUUUCCUACCUUGGGAUCCGUGCCGUAGCUAACGCAUUAAGUACC
rnacentral:rRNA from 1 species